rnacentral:tRNA from 1 species
UGGGGGAUCGUUCAACGGUAGGACAGCGGACUCUGACUCCGUCAAUCUAGGUUCAAAUCCUAGUCCCCCAGCCA